rnacentral:snRNA from 1 species
GAGUAAGAGACAGAAAGCGUA